GUGCUCACUUUGGCAGCACAUAUACUAAAAUUGGAAUGAUACAGAGAAAAUUAGCAUGGCCCCUGCACAAGGAUGACACGUAAAUUCGUGAAGCAUUCCAUAUUUUU
ensembl:snRNA U6 U6 spliceosomal RNA